rnacentral:rRNA from 1 species
UACGGAGGGUGCAAGCGUUAUCCGGAUUUACUGGGUUUAAAGGGUGCGUAGGUGGGUAGGUAAGUCAGUGGUGAAAUCUUCGAGCUUAACUCGGAAACUGCCAUUGAUACUAUUUAUCUUGAAUACUCUGGAGGUAAGCGGAAUAUGUCAUGUAGCGGUGAAAUGCUUAGAUAUGACAUAGAACACCAAUUGCGAAGGCAGCUCACUACGCGAAUAUUGACACUGAGGCACGAAAGCGUGGGGAUCAAACAGG